rnacentral:lncRNA from 1 species
AUUUUGAUGCAGCCCACAUUGAAGACCAGCUCUCUCAACCAAGAAGAUCGGCCCGCAUUAAAGCUCGACGAAACCGAGAAGCCAUAACGACAUCUUGAGUCCAUCCCGGAAGUUUGAAAGACACCUUGGAAGCUCGCGUGACGCUUUUACUAGUUUAUAGUUUCCAUGCCAUUUACUAUAUCUCCUAUUUUCAAUGCUCCGUUUUUAUUUCUCCUAGUUUUCAACGCUUUGUCUUUAUUUCUCCUAGUUUCAACGUUCUGUUUUUAUUUCUUUGAUGAUAUAAGCCAAUCCCUUGUAGAAGAC